UGGGGAGUACGGCCGCAAGGCUAAAACUCAAAGGAAUUGACGGGGGGCCCCGCACAAGCGGCGGAGCAUGUGGAUUAAUUCGAUGCAACGCGAAGAACCUUACCUGGGUUUGACAUAUACCGGAAAGCCGUAGAGAUACGGCCCCCCUUGUGGUCGGUAUACAGGUGGUGCAUGGCUGUCGUCAGCUCGUGUCGUGAGAUGUUGGGUUAAGUCCCGCAACGAGCGCAACCCUUGUCCUGUGUUGCCAGCGCGUAAUGGCGGGGACUCGCAGGAGACUGCCGGGGUCAACUCGGAGGAAGGUGGGGACGACGUCAAGUCAUCAUGCCCCUUAUGUCCAGGGCUUCACACAUGCUACAAUGGCCGGUACAGAGGGCUGCGAUACCGUGAGGUGGAGCGAAUCCCUUAAAGCCGGUCUCAGUUCGGAUCGGGGUCUGCAACUCGACCCCGUGAAGUCGGAGUCGCUAGUAAUCGCAGAUCAGCAACGSUGCGGUGAAUACGUUCCCGGGCCUUGUACACAC
rnacentral:rRNA from 1 species